rnacentral:rRNA from 1 species
AACUUUCAACAACGGAUCUCUUGGCUCUCGCAUCGAUGAAGAACGCAGCGAAAUGCGAUACGUAAUGUGAAUUGCAGAAUUCAGUGAAUCAUCGAAUCUUUGAACGCAUAUUGCGCUCUUUGGUAUUCCGAAGAGCAUGCUUGUUUGAGUAUCAGUAAACACCUCAAAGCCUUUUUCUUUUUUUUUUUUUUUUGAAAAGAGAAAGACUUUGGACUUGAGCAAUCCCAACACUUUUUUUUUCUUAAAGAAAGUGGCGGGUUGCUUGAAAUGCAGGUGCAGCUGGACAUUCUCCUGAGCUAAAAGCAUAUUCAUUU